UUGAAAGGGAAACGAUUGAAGUCAGUCGUACCGGCGGGUAAUCAGCCUUUUGGGUGUGAUUAUGUGGAGCGUGAGGAGCUAAUCGCCUUCAUCUUUGCAUAUUCGUGCGCUUUGGGUGUACUUGCUCGUGUGGUAGGUUAACAUCAAUUUUGAUCAUCAUAAAAUGAUUGAAGGAAUGUAGCUUCGAUCUCGUAUUGAAGUGUUAUAGCCUUUGGUAGAUGCGAUGAUCGGGAUUGAGGAUUGCAACGGAUACCCUUCGGGGCUACCCGUCUGAUCUCUGAAAGUUGCUCUGGUGCUGAAAGCUUGCUUAUGGUAUCAAAGUUGACGUUUAAUAGGUUAGAACGGGAUAAAUUCGUUAAGGAUGUUGACGUA
rnacentral:rRNA from 1 species